rnacentral:rRNA from 1 species
GAUGAACGCUGGCGGCGUGCCUAAUACAUGCAAGUCGAGCGAACAGACGAGGAGCUUGCUCCUCUGACGUUAGCGGCGGACGGGUGAGUAACACGUGGAUAACCUACCUAUAAGACUGGGAUAACUUCGGGAAACCGGAGCUAAUACCGGAUAAUAUAUUGAACCGCAUGGUUCAAUAGUGAAAGACGGUUUUGCUGUCACUUAUAGAUGGAUCCGCGCCGCAUUAGCUAGUUGGUAAGGUAACGGCUUACCAAGGCAACGAUGCGUAGCCGACCUGAGAGGGUGAUCGGCCACCCUGGAACUGAGACACGGUCCAGACUCCUACGAGAGGCAGCAGUAGGGAAUCUUCCGCAAUGGGCGAAAGCCUGACGGAGCAACGCCGCGUGAGUGAUGAAGGUCUUCGGAUCGUAAAACUCUGUUAUUAGGGAGGAACAAAUGUGUAAGUAACUAUGCACGUCUUGACGGUACCUAAUCAGAAAGCCACGGCUAACUACGUG